rnacentral:rRNA from 1 species
AGAGUUUGAUCAUGGCUCAGAUUGAACGCUGGCGGCAGGCCUAACACAUGCAAGUCGAGCGGAAACGACAUUGUUGAUUCUUCGGAGGAUUUAAUGGGCGUCGAGCGGCGGACGGGUGAGUAAUGCCUAGGAAAUUGCCUUGAUGUGGGGGAUAACCAUUGGAAACGAUGGCUAAUACCGCAUAAUGCCUACGGGCCAAAGAGGGGGACCUUCGGGCCUCUCGCGUCAAGAUAUGCCUAGGUGGGAUUAGCUAGUUGGUGAGGUAAUGGCUCACCAAGGCGACGAUCCCUAGCUGGUCUGAGAGGAUGAUCAGCCACACUGGAACUGAGACACGGUCCAGACUCCUACGGGAGGCAGCAGUGGGAAUAUUGCACAAUGGGCGAAAGCCUGAUGCAGCCAUGCCGCGUGUAUGAAGAAGGCCUUCGGGUUGUAAAGUACUUUCAGUUGUGAGGAAGGGUGUGUAGUUAAUAGCUGCAUAUCUUGACGUUAGCAACAGAAGAAGCACCGGCUAACUCCGUGCCAGCAGCCGCGGUAAUACGGAGGGUGCGAGCGCUAAUCGGAAUUACUGGGCGUAAAGCGCAUGCAGGUGGUUCAUUAAGUCAGAUGUGAAAGCCCGGGGCUCAACCUCGGAACUGCAUUUGAAACUGGUGAACUAGAGUGCUGU